ensembl:lncRNA
CAUAUAUAUAUAUAAGUUUAUUAAGUAUUAACUCACACAAUCACAGGGUCCCACAAUAGGCUGUCUGCAAGCUGAGAAGCAAGGACAGCCAGUCUGAGUCCCAAAACUGAAGAACUUGGAGUCUGAUGUUUGAGGGCAGGAAGCACCCAGCACAGGAAAAGGAUGUAGGCUGGGAGGCUAGGCCAGUCUAACCUUUUCAUAUUUUUUGCUUGCUUUAUGUUCCCUCGCAGCUGAUUAGAUGGGGCCCACCCAGAUUGGUGGGUCUGCCUUCCCCAGCCCACUGACUCAAAUGUUAAUCUCCUUUAGCAACAUCCUCACAGACAAACCCAGGAUCAAUACUUUGCAUCCUCCAAUCCAAUCAAGUUGGCACUCAGUAUGAACCACCACAGUGGCUCUGAAUGUAAGAGCUGAAAGUAUUUAGAUAAUCAUUUCACUGUUUUUGUUUUGCUUUGUUUUGUUUUGUGAUGGUGUCUUACUCUGUCUCCCAGGCUGGAGUGCAAUGGCAUGAUCUCGGCUCACUGCAACCUCCACCUCCCAGGUUCAAGCAAUUCUCCUGCCUCAGCCUCCCGAGUAGCUGGGACUACAGGCACGCUGGAGUGCAAUGGCAUGAUCUCAGCUCACUGCAACCCCCACCUCCCAGGUUCAAGUAAUUCUCCUGCCUCAGCCUCCCGAGUAGCUGGAGUUACAGGCACUCACCAUCAUGCCUGGCUAAUUUUUGUAGUUUUGUAGAGAUGGGGUUUCACCAUAUUGGCCAGGCUGGUCUUGAACUCCUGACCUCAGGUGAUCCGCCCACCUCAACCUCCCAAAGUGCUUAUUUACAUUUUUUAAAAAUACAAACGUUCUCUCUAUCUCUUGGUGGGAGGUCAGGGGAGGUUUGUAUGUAUAUGGAAAAAGUCUUGAUAUUUCUAUUGGAAUCAUUUUAAAUACAUAUUUAUUUGGAAGGAAUCAACAUAUUUAUAAUUUGGAGUCAUCCCAACUAAGAACAUAAAAUGUCUUUCCAUUUGUCCAAGUCUACUUUUAUGUCUUUUGGCAGAGCCGUAAAACUUUCUUGACAUAAUUUUAGCCAAUUUCUUGCAAAUAUUACCUCUAGGAAUUUUAUCUUUGUUGGCAGCUUCAGCUAAAAAUCUCCUUGCUGUCCCUCAGCCUUGCCUAUAUUCAAAUCAAACUUCUGCCCUCCUAAAGUGCCAUCUAAAGUCUCCAAAGUCAGUCGGCCUAAAAUUCCAUGAUAAUGGCCUCCCAUAUCACUUCUGUCUCCCCUGCUCCCUUCUGGCCUCUGCUCUAUACCUACUGAGACAUCCUCAACGUGCAGAUGCCUUUAGCUUUGCCUGAUUCAGUCUUUGUUAUCACCACGCCCUUUCCAUUCCAUCCUCCCAAUCACAUAUUCACUGACGUUUGCUUAUCCUUCAGCUUUCAGGACUUCCUUUGGAAAGCAUUCACUGACCCCUCCAAGACUGGAUCAAGUGCCUAAGCGCCCCAUGUGAGACUAUUGUAAGAUGCCCACGCUGUUGGUCACUGACUGAUUACUCAUCCAUGUUUCCGCUGGACUGUCAGCUCCCCAAGGGCAGGAACUGUGUCUUCCUCAGAGUUGAAUCUGCAGGACCAGCACAGUUCCCAGCCAAACCAGCUCCUCAACCUAUGCCAUAGAAGGCAUGCACACUUUGUACUUAGAGCCACUGCUCCCCCUAACUGGAGCCUCUAAAUGCAGGUGGAUGGACCUCCUGAGAAACUGGGUGCCUGAAUUUGGAUAAAGAGUUCAGAGACAGGAACAAAGAGUAUUGUCUCCAGAGACCUUUCCCAUGUGGACUUUGAAUGCUCAUAGCUACAUCCCCCUUUAUUUCUCUGAUCACCUUUGCUCUCUACCCCUUAAAGUUCACUUAGCACUUUAUGUAGUACUGGAAAGAAAGUGGGCUUUGCAGUGAAGCCUGAUUUUUUGCCUCAUAGUGUUCUGCUUACCAGAGUCUUGGACAAAAUGGUAAGAAAACAGUCUUCCUCUCUCAAGCAGGAUGGGAUUCAUCUCCUUUCAAUACUGCAUACAUGCCUGUCUGAGGUUUACGGUGUUAUUUCUCUGUUCUAGUUCUACUAACAUUUCACUGAGAUUUGUGGGCAUAAAGAUUUAUGGAAAAAAUGGGAGCAGACAGGCAAGAAUAGCAGGACAAUGAAAGAAGCUAUAGGAUGUUAGAAGAGUUCAGGUGGAGCACGUUUGUCAGGAAAAAAUCUAAAUAUCAAAUAUUUAGUGUAAGAGUAUAUGGAACAACUAUGUCAUAAAUUUGUCUCCAAAAGCAUUUAGCAGAGUGCCCAAAAUAGAUUAUGUACUAAACAAAUGCUUACUGA